GUUUGUGGCCAUACUGCCCUAAAGGUGCUGAAGCUCAUCUGAUCUUGGAAGCUUAGCAGGGAUGGGCCUGGUUAGUGUGUGUUUGGGAAAACUCUGAACUUCUGCUCACUCUCUGCC
rnacentral:rRNA from 1 species